rnacentral:misc_RNA from 1 species
UAUAUAUAUAUAUAUAUAAUUCAUAUUUAUGAUGAUAUAAAUCCAAUUAUUUUGUUAAACUAAUUAUAAUUAAUUAACUUGCUAAAAAGAAAGAAGAUAAUAAUUUUUUAUUGAAUUUCAGUGACCAAAAUUAGGGGAGAAAAGUGAAAUUAUGAGCAUGGAAAAUCCAUCCUCCAAAUGAAAAAGAAGAAACUGUUAGAUCGG